AUUUCUUUGACGAUCGAUAGCGAAUUUGGACCGGAGGAGCAGCCCAGAUCGGCGAUGCCGAAGCUCGCAGGAGUGCCGGUGGAAAGAUAAUUUCGUCUAAACCACCGGCGAAAAAUAAUUGUGAUAUUAGUGAAAGUGUGACUUGGAUUUUGUGGUGACCAAAUCAUUGGGGGAAAACUGGUUGGAAAGGUGUUAUUUGAAGCCUAUGGUUAAAGUGGAGAAAUGGAGCAAAGAAAACACCUUAAGAGUAAUGGCCAAAUUUGGGCACCAAAGACCACCACCAACACUGCGGAAGCACUACUCUAGAGCACCAUGGCUCUACUGGUAGCUCGUCAUUGGCUUGUGUGAUUUUCCUUCUCUUAACCUUAGUUGAGCUUAUUAUAUGUUAGGCCAUUUAAAUGAGAAAUAACUUCAAAGUUGUCCCGACAGACCCAACGAAGUUAGACCAUGAUUUUGAUAUCGAUAUUGAUUUGUAUGAUGCUAUUUAACUAGGAACAUAAAAGUUUCUCAAAUGGUCUUUUAUUGAUGGAGAUAGUGUUGAUAGUA